GCAGGAGCCUUACAUGUUUUAUUAGUGUUACAGUCAUUAUAGGAGUACUGAUUGAUGUUCAUCCCAUUUUAAGAAAUAGUUCUUAUUUGUGACUCAUUAAUAAUUUGCAUAAUCAUUAUAUGCAAUAAUCGUGUCUAUCUAACUCUUCAGUGAAUUUCAAUACUCUGAGAAUCAUUAUGUGUAUGAUCAUGAGAUAAGAGUCAAUUAGCUCUAGCCACAUUCUUGAAAACAUUUAACUAGGAAAACACGUCACUCGAAUGUGAUCAAGUGCUAACUGUUCUUUUAGGACUAAGCUAUGACUAUUAAAGAACCUGCACCAGGAUAAACUCCUUUCUAAGAAAUAACAUUUAAUUAAG
rnacentral:lncRNA from 1 species